rnacentral:rRNA from 1 species
UACGUAGGGGGCGAGCGUUGUCCGGAAUUACUGGGCGUAAAGGGCUCGUAGGCGGCCAACUAAGUCAGACGUGAAAUCCCUCGGCUUAACCGGGGAACUGCAUCUGAUACUGGAUGGCUUGAGUUCGGGAGAGGGAUGCGGAAUUCCAGGUGUAGCGGUGAAAUGCGUAGAUAUCUGGAGGAACACCGGUGGCGAAGGCGGCAUCCUGGACCGGCACUGACGCUGAGGAGCGAAAGCCAGGGGAGCAAACGGG